rnacentral:tRNA from 1 species
GCCUCGGUAGUGUAAUGGAUCAGCACGACAGUCCGGAUAUAUGUAAGCACGGGUUCGAGUCCCGCCUGAAGUU